rnacentral:rRNA from 1 species
CGUUCCCGGGUCUUGUACACACCGCCCGUCACACCACGAGAGUUUGUAACACCCGAAGCCGGUGGGGUAACCUUUUGGAGCCAGCCGUCUAAGGUGGGACAGAUGAUUGGGGUGAAGUCGUAACAAGGUACCC